rnacentral:sRNA from 1 species
ACAGCAGAUGGUAAUCCAGAUUUGGAAAC